AAAUCCGUCGACUUUAAAAAUCGUG
rnacentral:tRNA from 1 species